AUGAGUUUACGAGGAGGAGACGAAUCUGACGGUUUGAAGGAUGAGGUUGGAGCGAUGUCGUGUGGCAGUCGGAUUUUUCAUAGUGGUAGUGUUGUGGUGAAUCUGAUUGGAGAAGAAUUAUCGUUGCGUUCGAGGGAUGAAGGAUUUUGUACUGGUGUGGCUGAGAUCCAAGGAACGAUGGCAUUUUUGCUCAUUGAAGAAGAUGAAGGUGUCAUUUGUAGCGGUGGUUUGAGAAGAAGAAUCGAGGGUUUCCACAAAGUCGAAAGGUCACAUUAA
rnacentral:lncRNA from 1 species